GCCAGGCGCGGUGGCUCAUGCCUGUAAUCCCAGCACUUUGGGAGGCUGAGGCGGGUGGAUCAUCUGAGGUCAGGAGUUCAAGACCAGCCUGACCAAUAUGAUGAAAUCCCGUCUCUA
rfam:Chlorocebus sabaeus isolate 1994-021 chromosome 1, whole genome shotgun sequence.